UCUGCUCUGCGACAUUCACCGUUCUGAGUUGGCCCCAAGUGCACGUGGGCCAGCUUUCAGCUUCGGUGCCAUUUCACCCCGAGCAC
ensembl:ncRNA mir-990 mir-990 stem loop